UACGUAGGGGGCAAGCGUUGUCCGGAAUCAUUGGGCGUAAAGCGCGUGUAGGCGGCUCGGUAAGUCCGCUCUGAAAGCCCGGGGCUCAACCCCGGGAGGCGGGUGGAUACUGUCGAGCUCGAGUCCGGAAGAGGAGUGUGGAAUUCCUGGUGUAGCGGUGAAAUGCGCAGAUAUCAGGAGGAACACCGAUAGCGAAGGCAGCUCGCUGGGACGGUACUGACGCUGAGGCGCGAAAGCGUGGGGAGCGAACAGG
rnacentral:rRNA from 1 species